ACGAGUGAGGGUCUUCCAGGCCCGACCUCCCAACCCUAUGUUUACUGAACCUCUGUUGCUUCGGCGGACCCGCCUCACGGCCGCCGGAGGGUCGCUCACCCGACUCUCUGGCCCGCGUCCGCCGAUGGCCAACCAAUUAAACUCUGAAUGAAUCGUGUCAUUAUGUCUAAGUCUAUGAUUAAAUUAAAGCA
rnacentral:misc_RNA from 1 species